rnacentral:rRNA from 1 species
CUACCGGGAGGGCGAGCAGUAGGGAAUAUUGCUCAAUGGGGGAAACCCUGAAGCAGCAACGCCGCGUGGAGGAUGAAGGUUUUCGGAUUGUAAACUCCUUUUGUUAGAGAAGAUAAUGACGGUAUCUAACGAAUAAGCACCGGCUAACUCCGUGCC